rnacentral:rRNA from 1 species
AACGAACGCUGGCGGCAGGCUUAACACAUGCAAGUCGAACGCCCCGCAAGGGGAGUGGCAGACGGGUGAGUAACGCGUGGGAAUCUACCCAUCCCUACGGAACAACUCCGGGAAACUGGAGCUAAUACCGUAUACGCCCUUAGGGGGAAAGAUUUAUCGGGGAUGGAUGAGCCCGCGUUGGAUUAGCUAGUUGGUGGGGUAAAGGCCUACCAAGGCGACGAUCCAUAGCUGGUCUGAGAGGAUGAUCAGCCACAUUGGGACUGAGACACGGCCCAAACUCCUACGGGAGGCAGCAGUGGGGAAUAUUGGACAAUGGGCGCAAGCCUGAUCCAGCCAUGCCGCGUGAGUGAUGAAGGCCUUAGGGUUGUGAAGCUCUUUCACCGAUGAAGAUAAUGACGGUAGUCGGAGAAGAAGCCCCGGCUAACUUCGUGCCAGCAGCCGCCGUAA